rnacentral:rRNA from 5 species
UGACCUCGGAUCAGGUAGGAAUACCCGCUGAACUUAAGCAUAUCAAUAAGCGGAGG